rnacentral:rRNA from 1 species
CGUAGGGUGCGAGCGUUAAUCGGAAUUACUGGGCGUAAAGCGUGCGCAGGCGGUUUUGUAAGACAGGCGUGAAAUCCCCGGGCUCAACAUGGGAACUGCGCUUGUGACUGCAAGGCCAGAGUACGGCAGAGGGGGGUGGAAUUCCACGUGUAGCAGUGAAAUGCGUAGAGAUGUGGAGGAACACCAAUGGCGAAGGCAGCCCCCUGGGUCGAUACUGACGCUCAUGCACGAAAGCGUGGGUAGCAAACAGGAUUAGAUACCCUGGUAGUCCACGCCCUAAACGAUGUCAACUAGGUGUUGGGUGGGUAAAACCAUUUAGUACCGGAGCUAACGCGUGAAGUUGACCGCCUGGGGAGUACGGCCGCAAGGUUA